AACGAACGCUGGCGGCAGGCCUAACACAUGCAAGUCGAGCGAGGACUUCGGUUCUAGCGGCGGAAGGGCGAGUAACGCGUGGGAAUGUGCCCUUCUCUACGGAAUAGCCCUGGGAAACUGGGAGUAAUACCGUAUACGCCCUAUUGGGGAAAGAUUUAUCGGAGAAGGAUCAGCCCGCGUUGGAUUAGGUAGUUGGUGGGGUAAUGGCCUACCAAGCCGACGAUCCAUAGCUGGUUUGAGAGGAUGAUCAGCCACACUGGGACUGAGACACGGCCCAGACUCAGACGGGAGACAGCAGUGAGGAAUCUUAGACAAUGGGGGCGACACUGAUCUAGCCAUGCCGCGUAGGUGAUGAAGACCUUAGGGUUGUGAAGCUCCUUGAGCUGGGAAGAUAAUGGCGUUACCAGCAGAAGAGGCCCCGGCUAACUCCGUG
rnacentral:rRNA from 1 species